rnacentral:rRNA from 1 species
UACGGAGGAUCCAAGCGUUAUCCGGAAUCAUUGGGUUUAAAGGGUCCGUAGGCGGCCCAGUAAGUCAGUGGUGAAAUCUCACGGCUCAACCGUGAAAUUGCCAUUGAUACUGCUGGGCUUGAAUUACCAGGAAGUAACUAGAAUAUGUAGUGUAGCGGUGAAAUGCUUAGAUAUUACAUGGAAUACCGAUUGCGAAGGCAGGUUACUACUGGUAUAUUGACGCUGAUGGACGAAAGCGUGGGGAGCGAACAGG